rnacentral:rRNA from 1 species
UACGAAGGGGGCUAGCGUUGUUCGGAUUUACUGGGCGUAAAGCGCACGUAGGCGGACAUUUAAGUCAGGGGUGAAAUCCCAGAGCUCAACUCUGGAACUGCCUUUGAUACUGGGUGUCUUGAGUAUGGAAGAGGUGAGUGGAAUUCCGAGUGUAGAGGUGAAAUUCGUAGAUAUUCGGAGGAACACCAGUGGCGAAGGCGGCUCACUGGUCCAUUACUGACGCUGAGGUGCGAAAGCGUGGGGAGCAAACAGG